rnacentral:rRNA from 1 species
AUUGAACGCUGGCGGCAUGCCUUACACAUGCAAGUCGAACGGUAACGCGGGGCAACCUGGCGACGAGUGGCGAACGGGUGAGUAACGCAUCGGAACGUGCCCAGUAGUGGGGGAUAGCCCGGCGAAAGCCGGAUUAAUACCGCAUACGACCUACGGGUGAAAGAGGGGGAUCGCAAGACCUGUCGCUAUUGGAGCGGCCGAUGUCAGAUUGGGUAGCUGGUGGGGUAAAGGCCUACCAAGCCUCCGAUCUGUAGCCGGUCUGAGAGGACGACCAGCCGCAAUUGGACUGUGACACGGGCCAGACUCCUACGGGAGUCAGCAGUGGGGAGUUUUGGACGAUGGGCGCAAACCUGAACCUGCCAUGCCGCGUGCGGGAAGAAGACCUUCGGGUUGUAAACCGCUUUUGUCAGGGAAGAAACGCUCUGGACUAAUACUCUGGGGUAAUGACGGUACCUGAAGAAUAAGCACCGGCUAACUACGUGCCAGCCGCCGCCGUAA